CACACUCCGGAGCGGAAGGUGCCGGUAAUGCACCUCAUACGCUGGUUUCCAACCACUGUUAAAAACCAAAAAGAAGAAGAAGAAAUGUGACAAGGGUAUGGGAACGCGGGAUUUGGCAGGAAAAGGAAAGGAAAGCACCAGAAAUGCCAGCAGUGAGGUGGAUCUGCACUCUUAAUUUUCCGCAGUAAUCAGGAUCAUUGGUCUCACUAACGUCUUCAGUCCUAUGAGCUGUCAGCCACACAGGCAAUCUGUCCAUCCACCUGCAGUCUGGUCUCAAUGAUACAGUCCCACUCUCAGCAUACAAGAUAGAUGGCUUCCUGCUGUUGACUCCCAAGCGGUUCAUAAAACUGUGAAACAGAACUGAGACCAGCCAAUGGUGAGUAGUUCUUUAUUAAUCAAUUAUUGUAUCUUUAUUUAUUACUGAAUGUAAUCAAGCAGUUCAUAAUCUCUAUAUUUUAAGAAUAACCUUUUAAUGACCUGAAUGACUCUUUCUAACCCAGUUUGUCUCAAUAACAUGAAGGAUCAUGGGUUGUGGGGAUGCAGUUGGAACAAGUUGGAACUAGACCUUGACUUCAGUUUGCAAUAUGAAGAUCCAGACUUUGAUGGAAAACUUACUUCCCUUGCUGACAUUGAGGAGUUGCCACAAAAAGCUGUUGAAAAUAUCUCACUUGCACAAGAUUCCAGCUCUCUUGCAUCUACUGAAACACUUUCAAGUGUGUCAUCUCCACAACAUCUAAGCAGAUGGCCUCGAAGUCCUUUUCCAGUUCCCACAUUUUCAUUUGAUGUUGAGCUGAAACUUAGAGAAGGAAAUACUGAAUUUGAGAACAACAACAAACACCUUAAGUUGACAAGAGACCUAAAGCACAACAUUAUAGAAAAGCUUGCAUCCACAAUAUAUAGCUUCAAGGCUUACCCAAGUAGUAAAGAGAUAGCAGUGGCAGCUGAGGCUCUUGUGGCCAAACAUCCCUGCUUGAGGGAAGCAGGAUCUGAGACUGGCUGCAAUGAAUGGAAGAACAGUAUCAAGUUUAAGAUGGGCAAUUACAGGAACAAGAUGAGACGGACUGGAUGUCAGGAGGUCACUGUAAAUGCUGGAAAAAGAAGUAGAAGCAAUCCUGACAGUGAACCUUUACACUCCAACAUUAAAAGACCCAGGUGAGCAGAAGUCAGCUUUCUACCCAACUUUCCCCAAAGAGAGGAUCCAUCAAGUCUUGAGCAGUUGAGGCAGAAAAUUCUUGAAGAAGUCAAGAAGACUGAGAAGAACCUACCCCUCAUUAAAAAGAUGAUGCAGACCACAUUUGCCCUGCGGUGACAGACCAUAGUGAAGACCACCAGUGAACGAGCUCAUGGACCUCUGGCCUGCUCUCAAAAUGGAGUCUGAGGAGUGUAAUAGAGCCUCCAAGUUUGACUCGUCAGCUCCUUCCCUAUGGCAAGAACGAGCGCUUCACCUGGACUGUUCUUCUCCAAAAUUUUGUACUCCAGAAUUAAUGAAGUGGAUCUGGACCACCAAACAACCAUUUUGAGCUGAAAUAAAUGUUUUGGAGGAUGCACAACACACUGUAAAAGCAAAUAGUAUACCUUACUAGAAAUAACAUGGCAAGUUUACUAGAUUUUAAACAAAAUGUUGAGUUUACUAUUGGUGGUUAAUUGUUGUGAAAAUAGAGGUGGCACUAGUUCACAGAAAUACUAUUAUUCAAAUGAACUUACUCAGAGAGUCCAAGUUGUUACUUGAAAUAAUGAACAGUAGGUGGAGAUAACACCCCUCCCCCCAUGGAGGUAAAUCGCCAUUUAUGAAGACACUGAAGAAGUGCAUAUGGCUGUUUUCCACUCUCCCACACAGCCCAUGUUGAUGAAGAAGAGGUGCAAGGAAGACAAUCCUAGUGUCAAGCCCCCCACCUCUCAAUCUCUCCAUCUCUCUCUCCCUCCCUCUUAGUAAUCUGAUGUAACAGAACUGUGUACAGUGGAACUCCAUGGCCUUCCAGUCCUUCUCUGUGAUGACCCUGAAGAAUUUUUUUUGAAAUGCUUCUUUAGUAAUGUUACCAGCGGUAAUGCAUUAGUAUCAUUCAUAUUAGUACAAUUCACAAACAAUUAUUUGUAUUGCUUAGUUUUGAAGUCAGGACAUAAAGAGGAAGUUGUUGUGUCAUUAUGAAAGGAGUUGUGUUGUAUGUUGUAGUAGGGCUGCACCAUUAAUCGUAUUAAGAUCUCGAUUCAUACCUUUAUGCGAUCUCAUUCCUAAAUGACAGGGAUGGGUAUUGUUGAGAUUUUAACGGUACUACUACUCUACCAAAACUGCUUAUCAAUCCGGCUGAAGAUGCAGAUGCUGACUUAAGCCAAGUUGCAGUUGCAGUGCUCCCAGUCAUCCCUGAACAAGAACCAGGCCCAACUCCGAACUCACAACACUUUGAAUGUGAAAGAGCGAUCAUUCUGGAGGGACAGAUCAUGGUCGAUAAUCUGCGAGAUCUGCCAAAAGCUGUAUGUCUCUUAUUUGGCUUACUCUAUGCCCUGAACUCUGAAUGUUGAAGAGCUUUAUGGCCAAGGUAAACCCUAAAAACUACUGUUUAUUAUCGUAUGGAGAGGAUUUUUGUACAUGAGAGAACUGUUCAUUGUCUUGUUGAACUUUACCUUUUUACCUGCUGAAACUUAAAUCUCAUUUUGGCAGCAUGUUGGAAUGUUAGCUUUCCAAGAAAGGGGGCUUGUGGAGGGCUUUACGGCCAAUAUAAGCCAUCUGAACCAUUACAUGAGAGUUAUUUUUGUAUAUGA